rnacentral:rRNA from 1 species
GAUGAACGCUAGCUACAGGCUUAACACAUGCAAGUCGAGGGGCAGCAUGGUCUUAGCUUGCUAAGGCCGAUGGCGACCGGCGCACGGGUGAGUAACACGUAUCCAACCUGCCGUCUACUCUUGGACAGCCUUCUGAAAGGAAGAUUAAUACAAGAUGGCAUCAUGAGUCCACAUGUUCACAUGAUUAAAGGUAUUCCGGUAGACGAUGGGGAUGCGUUCCAUUAGAUAGUAGGCGGGGUAACGGCCCACCUAGUCUUCGAUGGAUAGGGGUUCUGAGAGGAAGGUCCCCCACAUUGGAACUGAGACACGGUCCAAAACUCCUACGGGAGGCAGCAGUGAGGAAUAUUGGUCAAUGGGCGAGAGCCUGAACCAGCCAAGUAGCGUGAAGGAUGACUGCCCUAUGGGUUGUAAAACUUCUUUUAUAAAGGAAUAAAGUCGGGUAUGGAUACCCGUUUGCAUGUACUUUAUGAAUAAGGAUCGGCUAACUCCGUGCCAG